rnacentral:rRNA from 1 species
UACGUAGGUGGCAAGCGUUGUCCGGAUUUACUGGGCGUAAAGCGCACGUAGGUGGCGACGUAAGUCGGGUGUGAAAGCCCCGGGCUCAACCUGGGAAUUGCAUUCGAGACUGCAUUGCUGGAGUACGGAAGAGGAAGGCGGAAUUCCCGGUGUAGCGGUGAAAUGCGUAGAUAUCGGGAGGAACAUCAGUGGCGAAGGCGGCCUUCUGGUCCAGUACUGACACUCAAGUGCGAAAGCGUGGGAAGCAAACAGG